UCAUUUAUCGAGAAAGUUUAGACUAUGAGCCACAGGGGUCCCUGCCUGCAGUCCCUAUAGCCUCCCCCUGCCCCAGUGCCUUUCUCAGCUGGUCUGGGAAUCAGGGCAGCCCAUUGAGGGGGGCUCAGACAACCCUUUCUUCCUGGUUCUGGGAGUAAGGCUUUCUCUGCAGCCACAAGGAGAACAUGGGAACCAGAAACUUCUCUUUGGUCAGCCCUUCUGAGCACACAGGUUUAGCCCAUGCUCCAAGAAUGCUCCUGAGCAUUGUAUAAGCCCCUAGGACUCUUAGCUCAUGUGAUAAUGAUUGCAUUACUAUCCUGCUUUAACUGACAAAACCACAGAGAAUUUUGCUUGCUUUCCUACUCUCUUCCUCUGCCCAGGCCUCCUCCAUACGUAUACAUACACACAUGGGCAUGUAUACACACACAUGCACAAUAGACAUGCACACACACAUGCACACAUGGGUAUACAUAUACACACAUGCACAAUAGACAUGCAUAUAUACAUAUACAUGCACACAUUGAUAGGCAUACACACAUGCACAGUAGACAUGCACACAUGGGUAUACAUAGACACACAUGCACAGACAUGCAUACACACACAUGCACACAUAAAUGUGCACACACACAUACACAAAUUGCCCAAGCCUGUGCACUCCUGGUACCCAUGUCCCAUCCUGGCCCACCUCUUUGUCAGCAGGACUGACUCCAUCACUCCCUCAGGUUUUGCCCACCAGCACCCCCCAGCUUUCCCCCAGCAGAGCUAAACAGCCCCUCUGAAUAGACAACAGGACCUUCUAGAAACAGCUGAACCCUUGGACAGCAGCAGGCAGAUUUUGAUCUGCUCUCAUCAGGUACAAAAGGUGGUAUCCGUAUUCUCUUCUGAGCAUGCUCAGUAAGCAUAUGGACAUAGAAUUUAACAUCUCUGUGGAGUGUGUGUUUUUUACAUAUUUGUAUGCAGUCGAGGAGGGCCUGUUGUAGAAUUCUCUCCCUGUAUCUUACUAUACUGUUAAAGAAGCUGAAUUCUAUGUUGCCAACAGAUGCGUGAAAUGUUCCUCCAGGAAAAGCCAUUCAAGCCUGAUUAUUUUUCUAAGUAACUUCAAUUAAAUUGAAG
rnacentral:lncRNA from 1 species